UCAUACACAGUGACACAGCAGUCUACACAGCAACAUUUUAAGGAGUUUUUCCGAAGCCAAUUAUAAGACAGAAAGUUGGUAAAAGUUCACUUUGAUUCAUGUUUUUUGUUUUAGAUGGUUCCUACCUCAACAGAAGGUUGCCGUUUGGGGACGUCACACUUUUUUUUCUCGUGCUUUGUCGGGUGAAGCUCCGGAAUGGGAAAUGAUGGGCAAAAAACCUAUACAGAACCCAUAAAAAGUUCUGUAGUGAUUCCUACAAAGGUCAGCAAAUGUAUUUAAAGCUGUGUUUGACGGAGAAAGAACUGGAAGGAGAUGCUGUAGAAGUCCCGACUCCAAGAUUUUCAACACAACCAUCAGAAUCUUUGCUGACAUGCUCGGCUUUAGCAUUGUCUGCUGUUAAAUACUUGAAACCAGCCAGCUAACUGAGAAGAGGUAAAACUGAAUGUCUGGACAAAACCUUCUUGACACUCCCUCCAUGCCACAGAAAAGACAGAGGAAACAAGGAUGCACAGUACCACAUGAUGAAGUGGUACUAAAGAAUAAAAUAAUCACUUAAGACCUUCCAGGAAGAAAUUACCAUAAAGUAAUGGAUGGACGGAAAUAUCUGAAGUUCUGAACAAGGAAAGGCUAUAUCUGAACAUCACAAGAAAAUAUCUGAACAUUGAAAGGAGACGUCUGUACAAGGAAAUGAGAUAUCUAAACAUAAAUAGAUAUCUGAAUAAUGAAAGGAUGAAUCUUAACAAGGAAAUGUGACAUCUGAACAUCCAAUGGAGAUAUCUGAAUUGGGAAAUGCUAUAUCUGAACGUCACAAGGAGUUAUCUGAACAAAGAAAGGAGAUAUCUAAACAAGGAAAGGAGAUAUCUGAACAACAAAAGAAAAAAUAUGAACACCUAAAAAAGAUAUCUAAACAUUGAAAGAAUAUAUUUGAACAUCACAAGGAGAUAAAGUAUCUGAACAAGGAAAGGAGUCUCGUCUUAAGACCCACUUUUAUUCUUUGGCUUUUAACACUACGUGAGUUGUGUGGUCCUCUGUUCUCUGUUGUCCUCUGUGUUUUUUAUACACUUUGAUUUCUAUUUUACUGUUUUAAUUGAUUUUACCCCUUAAAAUAGUUUUUAAUCAUAUUUGUUUUUAUAUUGUUUUUAUAUUUAUUUAUUUUUUGUUUUUAUUCAGUCAUUG